rnacentral:rRNA from 1 species
UACAGAGACUGCAAGCGUUAUUCGGAUUCACUGGGCGUAAAGGGUGCGCAGGCGGUUUGGUGUGUCAGAUGUGAAAUCCCGAGGCUCAACCUCGGAACUGCGUCUGAAACUACUCGACUAGAGUCCGGAAGAGGAGAGUGGAAUUCCUGGUGUAGCGGUGAAAUGCGCAGAUAUCAGGAGGAACACCAAUGGCGAAGGCAGCUCGCUGGAACGGUACUGACGCUGAGGCGCGAAAGCGUGGGGAGCGAACAGG